rnacentral:lncRNA from 1 species
CGCGUGGCCUGCCCUGGCCGGCCCUUCCUCUUCUCCCUCGUGGCCCACUAAGGCCCAAUAGCCCCCGGGAGGGUUCCGGUAACCCCCCGGUGUUCCGGUAAAAUCCCGAUUUCACCCGGAACCAUUCCGAACUCCAAAUAUAGGCUUCCAAUAUAUCAAUCUUUAUGUCUCGACCAUUUCGAGACUCCUCGUCAUGUCCGUGAUCACAUCCGGGACUCCGAACUUCUUCGGUACAUCAAAAUACACAAACUCAUAAUAUAACCGUCAUCGAAACCUUAAGCGUGCGGACCCUACGGUUCGAGAACAAUGUAGACAUGACCGAGACACGUCUCCGGUCAAUAACCAAUAGCGGGACCUGGAUGCCCAUAUUGGUUCCUACAUAUUCUACGAAGAUCUUUAUCGGUCAGACCGCAUAACAACAUACGUUGUUCCCUUUGUCAUCGGUAUGUUACUUGCCCGAGAUUCGAUCGUCGGUAUCCAAUACCUAGUUCAAUCUCGUUACCGGCAAGUCUCUUUACUCGUUUCGUAAUACAUCAUCUCACAGCUAACUCAUUAGUUGUAAUGCUUGCAAGGCUUCAGUGAUGUGUAUUACCGAGAGGGCCCAGAGAUACCUCUCCGACACUCGGAGUGACAAAACCUAAUCUCGAAAUACGCCAACCCAACAUCUGCCUUUGGAGACACCUGUAGUACUCCUUUAUAAUCACCCAGUUACGUUGUGACUUUGGUAGCACCCAAAGUGUUCCUCCGGUAAACGGGAGUUGCAUAAUCUCAUAGUUACAGGAACAUGUAUAUGUCAUGGAUAAAAGCAGUAGCAACAUACUAAACGAUCGUGUGCUAAGCUAAUGGAAUGGGUCAUGUCAAUCAGAUCAUUCUACUAAUGAUGUGACCUUGUUAAUCAAAUAACAACUCUUUGUUCAUGGUUAGGAAACAUAACCAUCUUUGAUUAACAAGCUAGUCUAGUAGAGGCAUACUAGUGACAUAUUGUUUGUCUAUGCAUUCACACAUGUAUCAUGUUUCCGGUUAAUACAAUUCUAGCAUGAAUGAUAAACAUUUAUCAUGAAAUAAGGAAAUAAAUAAUAACUUUAUUAUUGCCUCUAGGGCAUAUUUCCUUCAGUCUCCCACUUGCACUAGAGUCAAUAAUCUAGAUUACAUAGUAAUGAUUCUAACACCCAUGGAGUCUUGGUGUUGAUCAUGUUUUGCUCGUGGAAGAGGCUUAGUCAACGGGUCUGCUACAUUCAGAUCCGUAUGUAUCUUGCAAAUCUCUAUGUCUCCCACCUGGACUAAGUCCCGGAUGGAAUUGAAGCGUCUUUUGAUGUGCUUGGUGCUCUUGUGAAAUCUGGAUUCCUUCGCUAAGGCAAUUGCUCCAGUAUUGUCACAGAAGAUUUUCAUUGGACCCGAUGCACUAGGUAUGACACCUAGAUCGGAUAUGAACUCCUUCAUCCAGACUCCUUCAUUAGCUGCUUCCGAAGCUGCUAUGUACUCCGCUUCACAUGUAGAUCCCGCUACGACGCUUUGUUUAGAACUGCACCAACUGACAGCUCCUCCGUUUAGUGUAAAUACGUAUCCGGUUUGCGAUUUAGAAUCGUCCGGAUCAGUGUCAAAGCUUGCAUCAACGUAACCGUUUACGAUGAGCUCUUUGUCACCUCCAUAUACGAGAAACAUAUCCUUAGUCCUUUUCAGGUAUUUCAGGAUGUUCUUGACCGCUGUCCAGUGAUCCACUCCUGGAUUACUUUGGUACCUCCCUGCUAAGCUUAUAGCAAGACACACAUCAGGUCUGGUACACAGCAUUGCAUACAUGAUAGAGCCUAUGGCUGAAGCAUAGGGAACAUCUUUCAUUUUCUCUCUAUCUUCUGCAGUGGUCGGGCAUUGAGUCUUACUCAACUUCACACCUUGUAACACAGGCAAGAACCCUUUCUUUGCUUGAUCCAUUUUGAACUUCUUCAAAAUUUUGUCAAGGUAUGUGCUUUGUGAAAGUCCAAUUAAGCGUCUUGAUCUAUCUCUAUAGAUUUUGAUGCCCAAUAUGUAAGCAGCUUCACCGAGGUCUUUCAUUGAAAAACUCUCAUUCAAGUAUCCCUUUAUGCUAUCCAGAAAUUCUAUAUCAUUUCCGAUCAGUAAUAUGUCAUCUACAUAUAAUAUCAGAAAUGCUACAGAGCUCCCACUCACUUUCUUGUAAAUACAGGCUUCCCCAAAAGUCUGUAUAAACCCAAAUGCUUUGAUCACACUAUCAAAGCGUUUAUUCCAACUCCGAGAUGCUUGCACCAGUCCAUAGAUGGAUCGCUGGAGCUUGCAUACUUUGUUAGCUCCCUUUGGAUCGAUAAAACCUUCUGGUUGCAUCAUAUACAACUCUUCUUCCAGAAAUCCAUUCAGGAAUGCAGUCUUUACAUCCAUUUGCCAAAUUUCAUAAUCAUAAAAUGCGGCAAUUGCUAACAUGAUUCGGACAGACUUAAGCAUCGCUACGGGUGAGAAGGUCUCAUCGUAGUCAAUCCCUUGAACUUGUCGAAAACCCUUUGCGACAAGUCGAGCUUUGUAGACAGUAACAUUACCGUCAGCGUCAGUCUUCUUCUUGAAGAUCCACUUGUUUUCUAUUGCUUGCCGACCCUCGGGCAAGUCAACCAAAGUUCAUACUUUGUUUUCAUACAUGGAUCUCAUCUCAGAUUUCAUGGCCUCAAGCCAUUUUGCGGAAUCUGGGCUCACCAUCGCUUCUUCAUAGUUCGCAGGUUCAUCAUGAUCUAGUAGCAUGAUUUCCAGAACAGGAUUACCGUACCACUCUGGUGCGGAUCUUACUCUGGUUGAUCUACGAGGUUCUGUAGUAACUUGAUCUGAAGUUUCAUGAUCAACAUCAUCAACUUCCUCACUAUUUGGUGUAGAUGUCUUAGAAACCGGUUUCUGCGACAAACUACUUUCAAGUAAGGGAGAAGGUACAAUUACCUCAUCAAGUUCUACUUUCCUCCCACUCACUUCUUUCGAGAGAAACUCCUUCUCUAGAAAGGAUCCAUUCUUGGCAACAAAUGUCUUGCCUUCGGAUCUGUGAUAGAAGGUGUACCCAACUGUCUCCUUUGGGUAUCCUAUGAAGACACAUUUCUCCGAUUUGGGUUCGAGCUUAUCAGGUUGAAGCUUUUUCACAUAAGCAUCGCAUCCCCAAACUUUAAGAAACGACAACUUUGGUUUCUUGCUAAACCAUAGUUCAUAAGGUGUCGUCUCAACGGAUUUUGACGGUGUUCUAUUCAGUGUGAAUGCGGCCGUCUCUAGAGCAUAACUCCAAAACGAUAGCGGUAAAUCUGUAAGAGACAUCAUAGAUCGUACCAUAUCUAGUAAAGUACGAUUACGACGUUCGGACACACCAUUACGUUGUGGUGUUCCGGGUGGCGUGAGUUGCGAAACUAUUCCGCAUUGUUUCAAAUAUAGACCAAACUCGUAACUCAAAUAUUCACCUCCACGAUCAGAUCGUAGAAAUUUAAUUUUCUUAUUAUGAUGAUUUUCAACUUCACUCUGAAAUUCUUUGAACUUUUCAAAUGUUUCAGACUUAUGUUUCAUUAAGUAGAUAUACCCAUAUCUGCUUAAGUCAUCUGUGAAGGUGAGAAAAUAACGAUAUCCGCCACGAGCCUCAACAUUCAUCGGACCACAUACAUCUGUAUGUAUGAUUUCCAACAAAUCUGUUGCUCUCUCCAUAGUACCGGAGAACGGGGUUCUAGUCAUCUUGCCCAUGAGGCACGGUUCGCAAGUGCCAAGUGAUUCAUAAUCAAGUGACUCCAAAAGUCCAUCAGUAUGGAGUUUCUUCAUGCGCUUUACACCGAUAUGACCUAAACGGCAGUGCCACAAAUAAGUUGCACUAUCAUUAUCAACUCUGCAUCUUUUGGUUUCAACAUUAUGAAUAUGUGUAUCACUACUAUCGAGAUUCAUCAAAAAUAGACCACUCUUCAAGGGUGCAUGACCAUAAAAGAUAUUACUCAUAUAAAUAGAACAACCAUUAUUCUCUGAUUUAAAUGAAUAACCGUCUCGCAUCAAACAAGAUCCAGAUAUAAUGUUCAUGCUCAACGCAGGCACCAAAUAACAAUUAUUUAGGUCUAAAACUAAUCCCGAAGGUAGAUGUAGAGGUAGCGUGCCGACUGCGAUCACAUCGACUUUGGAACCAUUUCCCACGCGCAUCGUCACCUCGUCCUUUGCCAGUGUUCGCUUAAUCCGUAGUCCCUGUUUCGAGUUGCAAAUAUUAGCAACAGAACCAGUAUCAAAUACCCAGGUGCUACUGCGAGCUCUAGUAAGGUACACAUCAAUAACAUGUAUAUCACAUAUACCUUUGUUCACCUUGCCAUCCUUCUUAUCCGCCAAAUACUUGGGGCAGUUCCGCUUCCAGUGACCAGUCUGCUUGCAGUAGAAGCACUCAGUUUCAGGCUUAGGUCCAGACUUGGGUUUCUUCUCCUGAGCAGCAACUUGCCUGUUGUUCUUCUUGAAGUUCCCCUUCUUCUUCCCUUUGCCUUUCUUCUUGAAACUAGUGGUCUUAUUGACCAUCAACACUUGAUGCUCCUUCUUGAUUUCUACCUCCGCAGCCUUUAGCAUUGCGAAGAGCUCAGGUAUAGUCUUUACUAACCCUUGCAUAUUAUAGUUCAUCACGAAGCCUUUGUAGCUUGGUGGCAGUGAUUGAAGAAUUCUGUCAAUGACACAAUCAUCCGGAAGAUUAACUCCCAAUUGUGUCAAGUGAUUGUAGUACCCAGACAUUCUGAGUAUGUGAUCACUAACAGAACUAUUCUCCUCCAUCUUGCAGCUAUAGAACUUAUUGGAGACUUCAUAUCUCUCAAUCCGGGCAUUCUGUUGGAAUAUUAACUUCAACUCCUGGAACAUCUCAUAUGCUCCAUGACGUUCAAAACGUCGUUGAAGUCCCGGUUCUAAGCCGUAAAGCAUGGCACACUGAACUAUAGAGUAGUCAUCAGCUUUGCUUUGCCAGACGUUCAUAACAUCUGGUGUUGCUCCUGCAGCAGGCCUGGCACCUAGCGGUGCAUCCAGGACGUAACUCUUCUGUGCAGCAAUGAGGAUAAUCCUCAGGUUACGGACCCAGUCCGUGUAGUUGCUACCAUCAUCUUUCAACUUUGCUUUCUCAAGGAACGCAUUAAAAUUCAACGGAACAACAGCACGAGCCAUCUAUCUACAUAGACAAGCAAGAUACUAUCAGGUACUAAGUUCAUGAUAAAUUUAAGUUCAAUUAAUCAUAUUACUUAAGAACUCCCACUUAGACAGACAUCUCUCUAGUCAUCUAAGUGAUCACGUGAUCCAAAUCAACUAAACCAUAACCGAUCAUCACGUGAAAUGGAGUAGUUUUCAAUGGUGAACAUCUUAUGUUGAUCAUAUCUACUAUAUGAUUCACGCUCGACCUUUCGGUCUCCGUGUUCCGAGGCCAUAUCUGCAUAUGCUAGGCUCGUCAAGUAUAACCUGAGUAUUCUGCGUGUGCAAAACUGGCUUGCACCCGUUGUAGAUGGACGUAGAGCUUAUCACACCCGAUCAUCACGUGGUGUCUGGGCACGACGAACUUUGGCAACGGUGCAUACUCAGGGAGAACACUUCUUGAUAAUUUAGUGAGAGAUCAUCUUAUAAUGCUACCGUCACCCAAAGCAAGAUAAGAUGCAUAAAAGAUAAACAUCACAUGCAAAUCAAUAUAAGUGAUAUGAUAUGGUCAUCAUCAUCUUGUGCUUCGUGAUCUCCAUCUCUGCAGCACCACCAUGAUCACCAUCGUCACCGGCGCGACACCUUGAUCUCCAUCGCAGCAUCGUUGUCGUCUCGCCAAUCUUAUGCUUCUACGACUAUCGCUACCGCUUAGUGAUAAAGUAAAGCAUUACAGGGCGAUUGCAUUUCAUACAAUAAAGCGACAACCAUAUGGCUCCUGCCAGUUGCCGAUAACUUCGGUUACAAAACAUGAUCAUCUCAUACAAUAAAAUAUAGCAUCACGUCUUGACCAUAUCACAUCACAACAUGCCCUGCAAAAACAAGUUAGACGUCCUCUACUUUGUUGUUGCAAAUUUUACGUGGCUGCUACGGGCUUAAGCAAGAACCAAUCUCACCUACGCAUCAAAACCACAACGAUACUUCGUCAAAUAGACUCCGUUUUAACCUUCUCAAGGACCGGGCGUAGCCACACUCGGUUCAACUAAAGUGAGAGAGACAGACACCCGCCACUCACCUUUAAGCAACGAGUGCUCGUAACGGUGAAACCAGUCUCGCGUAAGCGUACGCGUAAUGUCGGUCCGGGCCGCUUCAUCUCACAAUACCGCUGAACCAAAGUAUGACAUGCUGGUAGGUAGUAUGACUUGUAUCGCCCACAACUCACUUGUGUUCUACUCGUGCAAAACAUCAAACCAUAAAAAACCUAGGCUCGGAUGCCACUGUUGGGGAACGUAGUAAUUUCAAAAAAUUUCCUACGCACACGCAAGAUCAUGGUGAUGUAUAGCAACGAGAGGGGAGAGUGUUGUCUACGUACCCUCGUAGACCGAAGCGGAAGCGAUCACAACGUAGAGGAAGUAGUCGUACGUUCUCCUCGCGAUCCGACCGAUCCCGGCGUCGUUACUCCGGCGCCCCCGAGUUCUUGACACACGUACAGCUCGAUGACGCUCCUCGGGCUCCAAUCCAGUAGAGCUUCGGGGAGGGAGAGUUUUGUCAGCACGACGGCGUGGUGACGAUCUUGAUGUACUACCGGCGCAGGGCUUCGCCUAAGCUUUGCGACGAUAUGACCGAGGUGGAAUAUGGUGGAGGGGGGCACCGCACACGGCUAAGGAACGAUCCGUAGAUCAAACUUGUGUGUCCUAGGGUGCCCCCUGCCCCCGUAUAUAAAGGAGCAAGGGGGGGGGGGGUGCGGCCGGCCCUAGAGGAGGCGCGCCGGAGGAGUCCUACUCCCACCGGGAGUAGGACUCCCCCCCCCCUUUCCUAGUUGGAGUAGGAUUGGGGGAGGGGAAGAGGGAAGGGGGGGCGCCGCCCCCCUCUCCUUGUCCUAUUCGGACUAGGGGGGGAGGGGCGCGCGGCCUGCCCUGGCCGACCCUUCCUCUUCUCCCUCGUGGCCCACUAAGGCCCAAUAGCCCCCGGGAGGGUUCCGGUAACCCCCCGGUGUUCCGGUAAAAUCCCGAUUUCACCCGGAACCAUUCCGAACUCCAAAUAUAGGCUUCCAAUAUAUCAAUCUUUAUGUCUCGACCAUUUCGAGACUCCUCGUCAUGUCCGUGAUCACAUCCGGGACUCCGAACUUCUUCGGUACAUCAAAAUACACAAACUCAUAAUAUAACCGUCAUCGAAACCUUAAGCGUGCGGACCCUACGGUUCGAGAACAAUGUAGACAUGACCGAGACACGUCUCCGGUCAAUAACCAAUAGCGGGACCUGGAUGCCCAUAUUGGUUCCUACAUAUUCUACGAAGAUCUUUAUCGGUCAGACCGCAUAACCACAUACGUUGUUCCCUUUGUCAUCGGUAUGUUACUUGCCCGAGAUUCGAUCGUAGGUAUCCAAUACCUAGUUCAAUCUCGUUACCGGCAAGUCUCUUUACUCGUUUCGUAAUACAUCAUCUCACAGCUAACUCAUUAGUUGUAAUGCUUGCAAGGCUUCAGUGAUGUGUAUUACCGAGAGGGCCCAGAGAUACCUCUCCGACAAUCGGAGUGACAAAACCUAAUCUCGAAAUACGCCAACCCAACAUCUGCCUUUGGAGACACCUGUAGUACUCCUUUAUAAUCACCCAGUUACGUUGUGACUUUGGUAGCACCCAAAGUGUUCCUCCGGUAAACGGGAGUUGCAUAAUCUCAUAGUUACAGGAACAUGUAUAUGUCAUGGAUAAAAGCAGUAGCAACAUACUAAACGAUCGUGUGCUAAGCUAAUGGAAUGGGUCAUGUCAAUCAGAUCAUUCUACUAAUGAUGUGACCUUGUUAAUCAAAUAACAACUCUUUGUUCAUGGUUAGGAAACAUAACCAUCUUUGAUUAACAAGCUAGUCUAGUAGAGGCAUACUAGUGACAUAUUGUUUGUCUAUGCAUUCACACAUGUAUCAUGUUUCCGGUUAAUACAAUUCUAGCAUGAAUGAUAAACAUUUAUCAUGAAAUAAGGAAAUAAAUAAUAACUUUAUUAUUGCCUCUAGGGCAUAUUUCCUUCAGCC